AUUGAACGCUGGCGGCAUGCUUUACACAUGCAAGUCGAACGGCAGCGCGGGCUUCGGCCUGGCGGCGAGUGGCGAACGGGUGAGUAAUACAUCGGAACGUGCCCAGUAGUGGGGGAUAGCUCGGCGAAAGCCGGAUUAAUACCGCAUACGACCUGAGGGUGAAAGCGGGGGAUCUUCGGACCUCGCGCUAUUGGAGCGGCCGAUGGCAGAUUAGCUAGUUGGUGGGGUAAAGGCCUACCAAGGCGACGAUCUGUAGCUGUCUGAGAGGACGACCAGCCACACUGGGACUGAGACACGGCCCAGACUCCUACGGGAGGCAGCAGUGGGGAAUUUUGGACAAUGGGCGAAAGCCUGAUCCAGCAAUGCCGCGUGUGUGAUGAAGGCCUUCGGGUUGUAAAGCACUUUUGGCGGGAACGAAAAGGACUGUGCCAAUACCACGGUUCGAUGACGGUACCCGCAGAAUAAGCACCGGCUAACUACGUG
rnacentral:rRNA from 1 species